rnacentral:rRNA from 1 species
AAAUCAGGCAGGACUACCCGCUGAACUUAAGCAUAUCAAUAAGCGGAGGAAAAGAAACUAACAAGGAUUCCCCUAGUAACUGCGAGUGAACCGGGAAAAGCUCAAAUUUUGAAUCCGGCGGUCUCCGGCCGCCCGAGUUGUAAUCUAGAGAAGCGUCUUCCGCGCUGGACCGUGUACAAGUCUCCUGGAAGGGAGCAUCGUAGAGGGUGACAAUCCCGUCUCCGACACGGACUACCAGGGCUAUGUGAUGCGCUCUCGACGAGUCGAGUUGUUUGGGAAUGCAGCUCAAAUCGGGUGGUAAACUCCAUCUAAAGCUAAAUACAGGCGAGAGACCGAUAGCGAACAAGUACCGUGAGGGAAAGAAUGAAAAGA